CGGACUGAGACACGGCCCAGACUCCUACGGGAGGCAGCAGUGGGGAAUUGUUCGCAAUGGGCGCAAGCCUGACGACGCAACGCCGCGUGGAGGAUGAAGGUCUUCGGAUUGUAAACUCCUGUUGCUAGGGACGAAUGGCUUCGACCUAAUACGUCGAAGUAUGACGGUACCUGGUGAGGAAGCCCCGGCUAACUCUGUGCCAGCAGCCGCGGUAAUACAGAGGGGGCAAGCGUUGUUCGGAAUUACUGGGCGUAAAGGGCGCGUAGGCGGCCUGUUAAGUCGAACGUGAAAUCCCCGGGCUCAACCCGGGAACUGCGUCCGAUACUGGCAGGCUUGAAUUCGGGAGAGGGAUGUGGAAUUCCAGGUGUAGCGGUGAAAUGCGUAGAUAUCUGGAGGAACACCGGUGGCGAAGGCGGCAUCCUGGACCGAUAUUGACGCUGAGGCGCGAAAGCCAGGGGAGCAAACGGGAUUAGAUACCCCGGUAGUCCUGGCCCUAAACGAUGAAUGCUUGGUGUAGCGGGUAUCGAUCCCUGCUGUGCCGAAGCUAACGCAUUAAGCAUUCCGCCUGGGGAGUACUGUCGCAAGGCUGAAACUCAAAGGAAUUGACGGGGGCCCGCACAAGCGGUGGAGCAUGUGGUUUAAUUCGACGACGCGAAGAACCUUACCAGGCUCGAACGGCAUCUGACAUCCGGUGAAAGCCGGCUUCCGCAAGGACAGGUGUCGAGGUGCUGCAUGGCUGUCGUCAGCUCGUGUCGUGAGAUGUUGGGUUAAGUCCCGCAACGAGCGCAACCCUUGUCUUCUGUUGCCAUCAGGUCAAGCUGGGCACUCUGGAGAGACUGCCGGUGACAAACCGGAGGAAGGUGGGGAUGACGUCAAGUCAUCAUGCCUUUAUGUCUGGGGCCACACACGUGCUACAAUGGCAGAUACAAACCGUCGCGAGACCGCAAGGUGGAGCUAAUCGGAUAAAGUCCGUCUCAGUUCGGAUUGUCGGCUGCAACUCGCCGGCAUGAAGUUGGAAUCGCUAGUAAUCGCGGAUCAGCACGCCGCGGUGAAUACGUUCCCGGGCCUUGUACACACCGCCCGUCACAUCACGAAAGCUGGCUGUACUAGAAAUCGCUGAGCCAACCCGCAAGGGAGGCAGGUGCUUAAGGUAUGGUCAGUGAUUGGGGUGAAGUCGGAACAAGGUAGCUGUAGGAACCUGUGGCUG
rnacentral:rRNA from 1 species